GACGAACGCUGGCGGCGUGCUUAACACAUGCAAGUCGAACGGAAAGGCCCUGCUUUUGUGGGGUGCUCGAGUGGCGAACGGGUGAGUAACACGCGAGUAGCCUGCCCUUGACUUUGGGAUAACUUCAGGAAACUGGGGCUAAUACCGGAUAGGAGCUCCUGCUGCAUGGUGGGGGUUGGAAAGUUUCGGCGGUUGGGGAUGGACUCGCGGCUUAUCAGCUUGUUGGUGGGGUAGUGGCUUACCAAGGCUGUGACGGGUAGCCGGCCUGAGAGGGUGACCGGCCACAUUGGGACUGAGAUACGGAGCAGACUCCUACGGGAGGCAGCAGUGGGGAAUAUUGCACAAUGGGCGGAAGCCUGAUGCAGCAACGCCGCGUGCGGGAUGACGGCCUUCGGGUUGUAAACCGCUGUCGCCUGUGACGAAGCGUGAGUGACGGUAAUGGGUAAAGAAGCACCGGCUAACUACGUG
rnacentral:rRNA from 1 species